rnacentral:rRNA from 1 species
CUUGGUCAUUUAGAGGAGUAAAAGUCGUAACAAGGUUUCCGUAGGUGAACCUGCGGAAGGAUCAUUAUCGUACAAAAUGUGAGAGGGGCAUGCGAGGGCUGUCGCUGACUCAAAGUCGUGCACGCCCGAGUGUGUCGCCUCACAUAAUAAUCCAUCUCACCCUUUGUGCAUCACCGCGUGGGCACCCCUUUGGGAUCAUCUCGGAGGGGGCUCGCGUUUUCACACAAAACCCCCCUUUUAAAAGUGUAGAAUGACCUCAUUUAUGCGCUAACCCGCAAUCAAUACAACUUUCAACAACGGAUCUCUUGGCUCUCGCAUCGAUGAAGAACGCAGCGAAAUGCGAUACGUAAUGUGAAUUGCAGAAUUCAGUGAAUCAUCGAAUCUUUGAACGCACCUUGCGCCCCCUGGUAUUCCGAGGGGCACACCCGUUUGAGUGUCGUGAAAACCUCAACCUCCUUGGUUUCUUCUGGAGACCAAAGCAGGCUUGGACUUUGGAGGCCUUUGCUGGCACCUCUCGCCAGCUCCUCUUAAAUGAAUUAGCAGGGUCCUCUUUGCUGAUCCUCGACGUGUGAUAAGAUGUUUCCAUGUCUUGGUUUCUGGCUCUGUCACCUUUGGGACCCGCUUCUAACCGUCUUCAACCUUGCGUUGAGACAACGUUCGAGCAUGUCUCCCUUCUCGGGAAGCUCCCUCGACCCCACGAACCCUUGACCUCAAAUCGGGUGAGACUACCCGCUGAACUUAAGCAUAUCAAUAAGCGGAGGA